UACGAAGGGUGCAAGCAUUAAUCGGAAUUACUGGGCGUAAAGGGUGCGUAGGCGGUUCGUUAAGUCUGUCGUGAAAUCCCCGGGCUCAACCUGGGAAUGGCGAUGGAUACUGGCGAGCUAGAGUGUGUCAGAGGAUGGUGGAAUUCCCGGUGUAGCGGUGAAAUGCGUAGAGAUCGGGAGGAACAUCAGUGGCGAAGGCGGCCAUCUGGGACAACACUGACGCUGAAGCACGAAAGCGUGGGGAGCAAACAGG
rnacentral:rRNA from 1 species